rnacentral:rRNA from 1 species
UACGGGGGGAGCAAGCGUUGUUCGGAUUUACUGGGCGUAAAGGGCGGGUAGGCGGCCACCGCAAGUCGACUGUGAAAUCUCCGGGCUUAACCCGGAAAGGUCAGCCGAUACUGCGGGGCUAGAGUGCAGAAGGGGCAACUGGAAUUCUCGGUGUAGCGGUGAAAUGCGUAGAUAUCGAGAGGAACACCUGCGGCGAAGGCGGGUUGCUGGGCUGACUAUGCGCUGAGGCGCGAAAGCUAGGGGAGCGAACGGG